AUUGAACGCUGGCGGCAGGCCUAACACAUGCCAGUCGAACGGUAACAGGAAGAAGCUUGCUUCUUUGCUGACGAGUGGCGGACGGGUGAGUAAUGUCUGGGAAACUGCCUGAUGGAGGGGGAUAACUACUGGAAACGGUAGCUAAUACCGCAUAACGUCGCAAGACCAAAGAGGGGGACCUUCGGGCCUCUUGCCAUCGGAUGUGCCCAGAUGGGAUUAGCUAGUAGGUGGGGUAACGGCUCACCUAGGCGACGAUCCCUAGCUGGUCUGAGAGGAUGACCAGCCACACUGGAACUGAGACACGGUCCAGACUCCUACGGGAGGCAGCAGUGGGGAAUAUUGCACAAUGGGCGCAAGCCUGAUGCAGCCAUGCCGCGUGUAUGAAGAAGGCCUUCGGGUUGUAAAGUACUUUCAGCGGGGAGGAAGGGAGUAAAGUUAAUACCUUUGCUCAUUGACGUUACCCGCAGAAGAAGCACCGGCUAACUCCG
rnacentral:rRNA from 1 species